ensembl:lncRNA
CGGAAUCCCUGACUCAUGUUGUAAGAUUAAUUGCAAAGGAAUUUUCCCCUCCUUUUCUCCCCAAUGACGGAAGAGAAAAAGGAAGCGAAAGUGUCAUGUAUUUGUUUGACAAACACAAACAGCAAGCUGACAGUGACCUCUAUCCUGCAGUGUAAAACCAAUCCAGACAAUUUGAAAAAUGGAGCUGAAAACAGUAUCUAAUGCAUGAAGCUCUGUUCUUUGAUGUUCUCUAUAUGUAUUAUUGUGGUACUUGCCAAGACAAGUAUCGUUAUUAUUUCUGAUGAAUAAUUGUGAAACAUGUUGUUAACUGACAAAGUGGUUUAACUGGCAAAAUGUUUUCUGUACCUCCAUUUCUAUUGCCUUGAAAUGCAGUGUUUUAGAGAGUGUUGCAAUUCAGUCAUCAGAUGGAAAAACACAUGUUUAUGAGUUUUUGAUUGGCCCCGAAAUGUAAACAAACGUGUGUUGCUGGGCAGCUUCAUCGCUGUGCAAAUGAGCCUUGACGAAAUUGGAUAUUGCAAAAUGGCACUGAACUAACAAGGUCCGACUUGCACUGGAAUGCUUCAUCUAAUGUGCAUUUGUUAUAGAAAUCCCAUUAUAAUUAUGUUUCAUUUUUGGAACUACCUCCGGAUGUAGCAAAGACUUCCGACAUCCUGUGCAAGUACCUCUCUGAAUCUGCACGUCACAAGAGCAGUUUUAAUUUAAGCAAUAUUGCAGGAGUUACGUUUGUACAACAGUUCUGUAAACAACCAAAUAAUAUCAACCAUAUGCUAUUUUGUAUGCUACUUUUGCUAUUUAGCACAAAAACAAAAGUUCAGUUACAAUGUGGUAAGCCAUAUAAAUGGAAUUUUACCUAUUGAACUAUACAGUUAUUUAUACAGAGACAAGGAACCUCAAUGAUUCAGAUGUGCAGAUUUGUUUAAUUAUUUGGAAAAUGGAUUAGGAUUGGGAUUGUAGUUAUAAAUAGACUUUUCUUUUUGUUUUAUGAUGUUAAGGUGAGGUCAUGCGGUCUAUCACUGGAUUUGUAACUGUUGGUGUCACAUGUGAAAUUCCAGUGAUUGCUGGUGUGUCUUUGUGAUGUUUUGGUCUUUAGCUUGCUAUUUUAAGAGGUUGGGAUAUGCACUCUUAACAAUCCUUCAGCAAACACAAAUCAAAGAGUUACGACUAGUUGAGUCACUCAGGCUUAUGCAGACCCCAUAAGUCCACAGUAUGAGAUUGUCUAGAAGUUUUAAGCCUUAGUCACUAGCUGAAUUGUCUGCGGUGUCCUGUGAAGACAUAAGCACUAUGAACUUUCAUACUUUAAAUUGUUUUAUGUGCUUGAGUUAAAUUCUAUUUGUAACUGAGACACCUUUCUAUAAAAGAAUUCUAACUUCAACACGUGGAGAUCCUCCACCUGCCAAAUCAUGAUGAAUUCAUUGCUAGUUCUGAUUUUAGAUUUUUUGAUUUUUAACAGACAUCAACCUUUUUUUUAUGUUUUCUUUUGUUUUUACUGACUCACUUUAUAGGAUCUAACCCAAUCAAAUGCCAAAGCCCUACAUUUUUUUCUCCUUGAAUAUUUAGUUUCAUUUAGAAAUUGAUAAUACUGACAUAAAGUGUUCAUUACACUUUUAGUGGCUAGAAAUAGAGGUAACUUAAAAAUUCAUAACAUGAUUUACGUUUCAUAAUGUUUCAAAGCAUUCCUUUUUGGCAUGGCAUGUCAUAUUUAGGAGACUUAAAAUAUACAGUAGCCCAAGAGAUGGAUGAAAUACUUUUUUUUUUUUAAAUAACUAUAAAAGUAAUCACACAUUUUUUUUUCUAAAAUUUUUCGCAGUUAAUCUCACCGAACAUUAAUGGUUUUAUAUAUACUAUUAUAUAGCGAUCAUUUAACAUUCAAUCUUCAAAUUAAUGUAGAAACAAAAUAAAGACAGAAUUUUUUUUUUACAUGAAACAUCUUUUUUAUGACUGAAGGUGAGUAUGACUGAUAUCCAUACUGCUGAUGUCUCUAGGAAAAUGUUAUUUUUUCCCCUAUAUUUAGCCUAACCAUAACCUAAUUAUAGCAAUUCAACAUUACAGUAUAAUUGAGAGCCAUCAAUUUUAACAUUUAUUAGACUUUAAAAACAACAACAAUUUAUAAUUUAUAUCACAUAAACCCUUUAUAAUAAAUGUCAUAUUUACCUGUGCCCUUCAGCAAGUAGGAAAUAUACAGAAAUUGAAUAAAUUUGUCAAAAACUAAAUUAAAAAAUAGACGAAUCCUUAAGGAUACAAAAGUUAUUGAUUUCCUCUUUCUUCUUUUGUUCUUUGAUUAACAGACAUCACAGCAGCUGGGUUAUUAGGUUAUUUGGCUGCUGUUACUUUAAGAGCUGCUGCUGCUGAAAGUGACACGGAUCUGAUACGCAUGCUCGUAUAGUUUCACCCGCGCUUUAAUAUGAAAUGAUACAGACUACAGAGUGCUUGCAGCUGAAGAGCACACACUACAAGCACAGUAUAAC